rnacentral:rRNA from 1 species
UAUACGGGAAUAAACCGCCCCUUUUGUGGGGUUUUGACGGUACCGUAUGAAUAAGGACCGGCUAACUCCGUGCCAGCAGCCGCGGUAAUACGGAGGGUGCAAGCGUUAUCCGGAUUUAUUGGGUUUAAAGGGUGCGUAGGCGGGGUAUUAAGUCAGUGGUGAAAUCCUGCAGCUCAACUGUAGAACUGCCUUUGAUACUGGUAUUCUUGAAUGUGGUUGAGGUGGGCGGAAUUUGUGGUGUAGCGGUGAAAUGCAUAGAUAUGACGAAGAACACCAAUUGCGAAGGCAGCUCACUAAACCAUAACUGACGCUGAGGCACGAAAGCGUGGGGAUCAAACAGGAUUAGAUACCCUGGUAGUCCACGCCCUAAACGAUGAUUACUGGAUGUUUGCGAUAUAACGUUGUGGGCUGAACGAAAGCGAUAAGUAAUCCACCUGGGGAGUACGUUCGCAAGGGUGAAACUCAAG